AGUGAACGCUGGCGGCGGGCCUAAUACAUGCAAGUCGAACGACAGGACAGUAAGAUCUUUUCUUUAAUGUUAGCGACGGACGGGCGGGUAAGACGUAGAUCACCAACUUCUUUUUCUUGGAGAACUUCGGGAAACCGCUGACGAUACUGGCUCAUACUAUCAACCGCUUGAUUCAAAAGUUAUUCACGGCUUUGCUGUCUCUUAUAGCUGGAGUCGCGCUGCAUUAGCUAGUUGGUAAGGUAACGGCUUACCAAGGCAACGAUGCAUAGCCGACCUGAGAGGAUGAUCGGCCACACUGGAACUGAGACACGGUCCAGACUCCUACGGGAGGCAGCAGUAGGGAAUCUUCCGCAAUGGGCGAAAGCCUGACGGAGCAACGCCGCGUGAGUGAUGAAGGUCUUCGGAUCGUAAAACUCUGUUAUUAGGGAAGAACAUAUGUGUAAGUAACUGUGCACAUCUUGACGGUACCUAAUCAGAAAGCCACGGCUAACUACGUG
rnacentral:rRNA from 1 species